AUGACCACUGUUCGUACACUUCUUGCCGUUGCCUCUGCACUCCACUGGUCUAUAUCUCAGCUUGAUGUUAAAAAUGCCUUUCUUAAUGGUGAGCUGCGUGAGGAGGUGUACAUGCAGCCACCCCCUAGGUAUUCUGUUCCUGAUGGCAUGGUAUGUCGUCUUCGUGGCUCUCUCUAUGGCCUUAAGCAAGCCCCUCGCGCCUGGUUUGAGCGUUUUGCCUCUGUGGUCACUGCUGCUGGUUUUUCAGCCAGUGCUCAUGAUCCAGCCUUGUUUAUUCAGCUUUCUCCUCGUGGUCGAACUCUUCUUCUUCUCUAUGUUGAUGACAUGCUCAUCACUAGGGAUGACCCCGAGUAUAUUGCCUUUGUAAAGGCCCGUCUUAAUGAGCAGUUUCUUAUGUCUGAUCUUGGACCUCUUCGCUACUUUCUUGGGAUUGAAGUCUCUUCUACCUCUGAUGGCUUUUUUAUAUCCCAGGAAAAGUAUAUCCAGGAUCUUCUUGCUCGUGCUGCUCUCACUGACGAGCGCAUUGUUGAGACUCCUAUGGAGCUCAAUGUUCACCUCCGUGCUACUGAUGGUGAUCCUCUCCCUGACCCGACGCGUUAUCGUCAUCUUGUUGGCAGUCUUGUCUAUCUAGCUGUCACUCGUCCGGACAUCUCUUAUCCGGUUCAUAUUCUGAGUCAGUUUGUCUCUGCUCCCACAUCCGUUCACUAUAGUCAUCUCCUUCGUGUUCUCCGAUAUCUUCGGGGCACGAUCUCUCACCGUCUAUUCUUUCCUCGCUCCAGUUCUUUACAGCUUCAGGCCUAUUCGGAUGCUACGUGGGCUAGUGAUCCUUCUGAUCGCCUUUCACUUUCUGCUUACUGUGUUUUUCUUGGUGGUUCUCUCAUUGCCUGGAAGACGAAGAAAUAG
rnacentral:rRNA from 1 species